GCUGCCUGGAGGGGAAUGGAAGCACAACUCCACCUGCCAGCCCUUUGAGCCAGCCUUCUUCCCAGCAGGAGAAGACACGCUGGCUCUACAUUUGCCGAAAUCUUCACCAGGCUUUAGCCCCUGGCUGACUUGGGUUUGACUUUCCACCUCUCUCCAACCACUCCUGGGAAGCUGCUGUGGCUGGAAUCACCACUGUCCCCAGUUUUACUUUCCUUGGUUGCCUGGCAGAAAUGCAAGAGAAUAACCCUGUUUGCUGCCAAUAGGCAGGGGUCGUAGUAACAGCCCACAGCAGAGGCACAGCCUGAGAGCC
rnacentral:lncRNA from 13 species